rnacentral:rRNA from 1 species
UACGAAGGGGGCUAGCGUUGUUCGGAAUUACUGGGCGUAAAGGGCGCGUAGGCGGUUUGACAAGUCAGGCGUGAAAGUCCCGGGCUCAACCUGGGGAUUGCGUUUGAUACUGUUGGACUUGAAUGUGAGAGAGGAUGGCGGAAUUUCCAGUGUAGAGGUGAAAUUCGUAGAUAUUGGAAAGAACACCGGUGGCGAAGGCGGCCAUCUGGCUCACAAUUGACGCUGAGGCGCGAAAGCGUGGGGAGCAAACAGG